CAAGAAUGAGUGGAACGCAUUAUAAGUGGCAGUUGUGCUGCAUAUAUAUAUAGUGGCACUGUGGUCUAAACCACUGAGCCUAGGGCUUGCCGAUCAGAAGGUCGGCGGUUCAAAUCCCCGCGACGAGGUGAGUUCCCGUUGCUCGGUCCCUGCUCCUGCCAACCUAGCAGUUCGAAAGCAUGUCAAAGUGCAAGUAGAUAAAUAGGUACCACUCUGGCGAGAUGGUAAACAGCGUUUCCGUGCGCUACUCUGGUUCACCAAAAGUGGCUUAGACAUGCUGGCCACAUGACCCGGAAAAACUGUCUGCAGACAAACGUUGGCUCCCUCGGCCAGUAAAGCAAGAUGAGCGCCGCAACCCCAGAGUCAUUCACGACUGGACUUAACUGUCAGGGGUCCUUUACCUUUCAUAUAUAUAUAUAUAUACGACAUGACUGAGGAGGUGCAGUUGUUUGCUCCUGAAGCAACAUACGAGUUUUGUUUUCAUAGACUACAGUCUAAAUACCUUCAUUCAACUUGAACCUUUCCAUACCUAACCCACUCCUGUCUCAGUAUGCCCUGUACCCAACUUGAACCUCAGCCUGCACCCAGCCAGAGUUUUGCCUUGCCUCAGCACACAGCACAACAGCUAGCAAUGAUCCUGACUAAAAUCCCCUCCCUCUGUGCUGCUAUUAAUCUUUGGUAGGUGAGUGGGGAAUGCUCCCAUUGUUGCCACUGGGAGUCCCACCUGCCAGGUGCAAAGCAGUGUUUUGUGUCCACAGGGUAGACUUCUGGUUCAUGAUUGAGCUAGGAGUUCCAGGAAACUCUUAUGGGAGGACAGUCAGGGCAGUUCCACUAGGGUGGGAUUAUUACUUUAUCUAAAAACAAAUUAUGGUUAAAAACAUCUUAUUUGAAUAUAUUUAACAGGGAGGGAUCUUCUCCCCUCCAGCUUCUCAGUCUUCAUAAUGGUUGGGGUAUUUAAAUACCACCUGAUAUUUAGUGACGUAUGAUUGUAGUCUGGUAUACAGGUUUGCUGUUUUGAUUUCAUUCCGCAACCCUUUUUUUCAUUUUCUUUGUUACUUGCCUGUUUUCUCCUAUGUCUACACAUUUUUGUAUGCAAAAGUAAAAUUCAAUAAAAAUGUUUUCAUUUUUAAAUCUAAAAACACUUUAAAACAUUGUUUCAAUAUUAAGCAAUUCCCAUGAACAUUGAUCACUGCUAAGUUUGAGAGUUAAAUAGAGUUGUGGCCUAUUUUAAUCCAAUUGAUGGUGACCAUCUGCAAAGAGUCACCUGCCAGUACAGCUCCUGCCUGCACAGCUAAAUACUCGCUCCUUAGGCUACAGUUCCAAGUUCCUAAAGAGCAGAACCAAGCUGCUUGCAUCCUUGCCAGUGCUGCAAGUAGCCCAGCAGAAUGUUUGCAAAGGAAUAAUUAUAGCUAAUGUCAAUUUCGACCUUUUGUUUGAUCGUCCCAAAGGAAAGCUGUGUUAAUAGGUGAGAAUUGCAUCUCAGCAGACAUCAGAGUUGCCAGGGGGCUCAGGAGCAACAGGAUUGUUUCAGCUGCUGGCUCUCGGUGAUAAAUGAGAACUGAGACAACUGCUAGGAGAUUUGCAGCAUAUUGGCAACAACAAGCUGAUCAGGAGUGACAUCAGUAUAGCUGUGGCACGGUGCCAGAACGCUACAAAUCAGGCACAUUUAGGCCUCUUCCUUUUUCUCAAUUUGCCCACUGGGGAAUGACAAUUAUUAUGGCUAGCCAGGGUUUAGAAUCAUCCAACUUGCAAUCAAUAGUAAGUUAUUGUAUUGGCAGUUGCCCUGUGUUUGAUGACAGCCUGACAACUUUCACAGCACUGACCUUAAUGAAUGGUCUCCGUGCAAUGUCAAGUGGAAGCCAGAGAAGUGCCUUAGCUAUGCUUUGCAGCAGGAGGAUGAUUAUCAUUUUCAAGUCAUUUGAGAGACAUAAAGGAGCAGAACAGAAAAGGGUUGUCAGGUAACUUAUAGGAAGUCUAUGGGGACACACUCAAGAGCAUUAAAAUAAGGCUUCUUUCACCUUAGCGAUCCUGACUUAAAUGGGAUGGUUAUUGGCAAGUGAAAAGGUGGAUGUUUCCCUCCCUUUCAGUGAAUUUGGGACACACACACGUCACAUAGAUAUAUUUUUGAAACUGGCUAGGAGGAGAGAGGGCUGUUGCUUGUGGGCUUCCCAUAGGCAUCUAGUUGGCGCUGUGAGAACUAGAUGCUGGGCUAGAUGAGCCUUUGGACUGAUCCAGCAGGGUUCUUUUGUUCUUAUGACUUGAGAUUGUUAUUAUAGAAGGAAAGGAAGUUGGAUUAUUCUCUUUAAUUUUUCUGUACAAAAGUAGCUGUCAUGUAGUUUUUGGUGAGAACCAAUGAAUUUACAGUACCACAAGUUAAGUAGAUGAGAGAGUUGUUUUACUGUUUGCAACUUUUGUCUAUUUUAAUACCUAUAAAAUACUGAAGCAAACUUCAGUUAUAAGGUGGACUAUCAACUGUAUAAAUAAAUAAAACACCUUCUAGAUAGCUGAUUUUGUAAAGCUGAGCUGGGAGAAGGGAGCCAGGCUGAUUUUUAGUUCAGGUGUUAAAGUUUAAUAAUGCAUUUUUUUAAAUGUAGGCAGGCUAUGCUGAAACUAAUAUUUCUAAUUGAAGUUACACCAAAACACUAAAAAAGAAAAGUUUAAAUGUUGUAUGUAGUAAAGGCAUGGGCAACAGCUGAUCUCCCGCCCUCUGACUCUGAUUUGUAAGACGAGAGUGAAAAAGGAGUGGAUUGUUUUGUGAGCUGCCCAGUGAACUCUUAUUAUGGGGCACCCACAUAAAUGCAGAAAAAUGAAUAGAUAAAUGUAUGCCUUGAUCAAAUCAUCUUUCUAAACAACAACCUGGAAUUGCUUCUAUGGCUUAGGCCACUGGUUGCUUUUGACUCGUUUGCCAUGUUACACCCACUUGCUAUGCACCUGCUAGAUCCUUACUACAUACUGCCAUGUGAAUCAAAAUUUAUGACCUGUAAACAGCAUUAACCUUUUUUUCUGGCAUUCAUUCAUUUCACUCCUUUGUUAAUUAACUGGGGAAGAAUGGGAAGGGCAUUGUUAAAUACCCAUAGGAAAAGGAGGGAGGGGAUGGGCACAGGAGGGGAGAGGUGUGGCAAAAUGGGCAUGAGUGAAGGAGGCAGCAUGAUGGCACUUGAGGGCUGACGUACAGCCUUCUUGAUGCACAGCCCACAAAAACCUGGAAGAGAAAAGCCCCAAGGCAAGCUACUAGUUUCAUGGUGCAAAAUGCUUCUCUAAGCUGUUUUCCUAAGAUAUACUUCCUCCCAAAUGCUAAGAAGUUAAAAUCAGCAUCUAAAGAUAAAGCCAAACUUUAUAGAGAUGCUCAACCUUGUUUAGAGAAAAAUGAACCCGGAUUUUGUACUUAUCACCAUGCUCGAUAACAGCUUAAUCCAAAUACAUUCAACCUAAUCAAAUUACUAUCUCUGAAGGCUACAGGGAUAAAUUUACAGUGUUGGAAUCCUAUUUAUACAGUGAAAUCCUUUAAACUAAAUAGCUGGGAUUGGACAGGGUAGCUAAUAAAUGAAAAUAUGCUGUACCAAAUAAAAUAUAUAGCCUAUUUCAUCUGCCUUAACAAAACUUAUUUAGCUGGUAGGUUCACUGGAGUAUCAAAGGAGGCCUGGAAAGGUGAAAUUAAUCAUGGAAAAGUGAAGUGUAGCAAGAGGCUUAUCGAAAUCUUGAUGCUGUAAAAGUUGCUAGUGGGGUGUGAUUUCUCUGAUGAAAAUUUCAUUUGCAUCAAGAGCUUAAACAUGUUUUUGCACUUGAUGUUAAUAUCACACAUAAAUGUGACUGGAUGACACUGUUACAAAGCAAAGCCCACUCAAUGUGCAGGGCAGUAGAAGAGAAGGAUGAUUAAUACUGAUGAAUGCUGUUUUCCUGACUCUUAGAAUCCAAUUAAAUUGCUGAAGUCCUGAAGGUGAAGAGAGAAGAAAUGUCUAGUUUCGACAGCAAUAGUUUUAUAUAUCCAUUAAAACUGAGGAGAAACAGCGACUUCUAAAGGAGGAAGGAGACACUUCUUUUACUCAUCUUAUUAAACCCAAUCUCCAACCCUUGUGCCCAAGGCUACCUUCAACAUGGCAUUUUUUGUUGUUUGCAACACAAGGGAGCAUAAUCUGCACUUCCCUGUUCUUAGCCUUAGCCAAUAAGAUGCAUUUCUUUACCUAUUUAUCAGAUUUGUGUUCUACUCUUUCUCUCCAUUCCUCAGGGAACUAUAUAUGGGGAGGCCAGUGUGGUGUAGUGGUUAAGAGCGGUCGACUUGUAAUCUGGUGAACCGGGUUUGCUUCUCCACUCCUCCACAUGCAGCUGCUGGGUGACUCUGGGCUAGUCACAGUUCUCUGAAGUCUCUCAGCCUCACUCACCUCACAGUUUGUUGUGGGGGAGGAAGGGAAAGGAGAAUGUUAGCCGCUUUGAGACUCCUCAGGGUAGUGAUAAAGCAGGAUAUCAAAUCCAAACUCCUCUUCUUCUUCUUAUCCACAGUACCCUCAACCACUCUCUGAAAGUACUCAUCUAAGGAAGUUCAUGCAGCAGGGCAAACCAGAGUUUUGAACCCUAUUCAAAAUCUAGCAUUCAAUCCACUAUACUUCACCAGCAUUGAGAAACUCAUCAGAACCAUCUACACAGAUAUAAUCAGAACCAGCCUGUGAGUUGCUAUUCUCAGGCUCUGACAUGGCUAUGAUAUGGACAAUUCCAGCC